AAGAGAAUCAAAGGGUGUAAUUUUAAGUUGUUAAGUAGUAAUGAACCAAAUUGUGCUAUAGCCUCAACUUCUACUUCAUCUUCACUAAGCCUAAAGAAAAAGUUGCAACAAGAACACAUUUUUUCAGCUGGGAUUUUCUCAUUCAAGCCUAUAAAAAAACCAAAAUUUUGUGACAAAAAACAUAGUAUUCAUAACCUUAAGAAACAACAUAGUUAUGUGAAAAAUUUGGAACAAUCAAAAUUUUCAAGCAAAAAUAAAGUACCUAAUGAAGUUGAAGAUUUCUUCUUUUUUCCUCCAAACCCUUUUUUUCCACCACCUAUUAUCCCUAAUCCACUUCAACCUCCACCUUUGAUUCCUAACCCUUUGCAACCACCACCUUUGAUUCCAAAUCCAUUUCAACCACCAAGUCCACCCUUGAUUCCUAAUCCAUUUCAACCACCAAGUCCACCACUUAUUCCAAAUCCAUUUCAACCUCCUCCAUCAAAUCCACCACUUAUUCCUAAUCCAUUUCAACCUCCCCCAGCAAGUCCUCCACCACUCAUUCCAAAUCCAUUUCAGCCUCCACCAUCAAGUCCACCACCAUCAUUUCCUUUUCCACCAAUAGUAAUACCAGGUUUAACUCCAUCACCACCGCCGCCGCCACCACCAAAAUCAAUUUUUCCUGCUCCCUUA
rnacentral:lncRNA from 1 species